rnacentral:pre_miRNA from 13 species
GGAGGGGCCGCCCCCGCUGCCGCCGGCGGCUCUGACGAUAUUGCACUACUGUGCGCUCAGGGAAGCAGUGCAAUAGUAUUGUCAAAGCAUCGGGCGCCAGCUCCGCGGGCUCCCCUUC